AUCUCUUACGUGGAGAUAAGGCCAGCCCAAAGCUGAUGUGAGGAUUGAUUGACUGCUUCCCUAGGAAGCACUAGAUAAACACCCAGGCAGUGAUGCUGUCACUGUUACAUCCAUCAUUGCUGUGCCUGCUACCUCAACUCCAUCUGGGACUGGCGAAGGUCAGUAAGUCACCUGUGGGCAAAUGAAUGAGUAAUCAAAUGACAUUUUCCCCUUUUUUUUAGGCAGGGGAUAGGGUGAUGGUGUUGAACCGGUCAGGGAUGUGGCAGGAGGAAGUGACUGUGCCAUCAGCCCAGACUUUCCUGAUGCCGGAGGCCAUGACUUUUGAGGAAGCUGCUGCCUUGCUGGUCAAUUAUAUCACCGCCUACAUGGUUCUCUUUGACUUCGGCAACCUAAGACCCGGCCACAGCGUCUUGGUACACAUG
rnacentral:lncRNA from 1 species